GGGAGUGUAGCUCAGUGGCAUAGCAUGUAUCUUACAUGCACAAAGCCCUGGGUUUGAUCCCUAGUAUCACCA
rnacentral:tRNA from 1 species